rnacentral:rRNA from 1 species
UACGGAGGGUGCAAGCGUUGUCCGGAAUCACUGGGCUUAAAGGGAGCGUAGGCGGGCUGCCAAGUCCGGGGUGAAAUCCUCCAGCUUAACUGGAGAACUGCCUCGGAUACUGGAAGUCUCGAGGAGGGUAGGGGCAAGUGGAACCGUGGGUGGAGCGGUGAAAUGCGUUGAUAUCCAUGGGAACUCCGGUGGCGAAGGCGACUUGCUGGACCCUUCUGACGCUGAGGCUCGAAAGCCAGGGGAGCAAACGGG